UACGUAGGUGGCAAGCGUUAUCCGGAAUCAUUGGGCGUAAAGCGCGUGUAGGCGGUUCCGUAAGUCCGCUCUGAAAGCCCAGGGCUCAACCCUGGGAGGCGGGUGGAUACUACGGAACUGGAGUACGGAAGAGGAGAUUGGAAUUCCUGGUGUAGCGGUGAAAUGCGCAGAUAUCAGGAGGAACACCAACAGCGAAGGCAGAUCUCUGGGACGUUACUGACGCUGAGACGCGAAAGCGUGGGUAGCAAACAGG
rnacentral:rRNA from 1 species